rnacentral:rRNA from 1 species
GAUGAACGCUGGCGGCGUGCCUAAUACAUGCCAGUCGAGCGAACGGACGCGAAGCUUGCUUCUCUGAUGUUAGCGGCGGACGGGAGAGUAACACGUGGAUAAUCUACCUAUAAGACUGGGAUAAUCACGGGAAACCGGAGCUUAUACCGUAUAAUAUCUUGAACCGUAUGGUUCAAAGGUGAAAGACGGCCUUGCUGUAUCUUAUAGCUGGAUACGCGCUGCAUUAGCUAGUUGGUAAGGUAACGGCUUACCAAGGCAAGGAGGCAUAGCCGAACUGAGAGACUGAUCGGCGACACUAGAGCUGAGACACGGACCAGGCUCCUACGGGAGGCAGCAGUAGGGAAUCUUCCGCAAUGGGCGAAAGCCUGGCGGAGCGGCGCCGCGUGUGUGGUGGAGGUGUUCGGAUCGUAAAACUCGGUUAUUAGUGAUGAACAUAUGUGUAAGGAACUGUGCACAUCGUGACGGUACCUAAUCAAGAAGCCACGGCUAACUACGUG